rnacentral:rRNA from 1 species
AUUGAACGCUGGCGGCAGGCCUAACACAUGCAAGUCGAGCGAGCGGCGGACGGGUGAGUAAUGUCUGGGAAACUGCCUGAUGGUGGGGGAUAACUACUGGAAACGGUAGCUAAUACCGCAUACCAUCAGAUGUGCCCAGAUGGGCUUAGCUGGUAGGUGGGGUAACGGCUCACCUAGGCGAAGAUCCCUAGCUGGUCUGAGAGGAUGACCAGCUACACUGGAACUGAGCCACGGGCCGGACUCCUACGGGAGGCGGCAGUGGGGAAUAGUGCACAAGGGGCGCAAGCCUGAUGCAGCCAUGCCGCGUGUGUGAAGGAGGCCUGCGGGUUGUAAAGCACAUUCAGCGGGGAGGCGUUACCCGCAGAAGAAGCACCGGCUAACUCCGUGCCAGCAGCCGCGGUAAUAC